GAUGAACGCUGGCGGCGUGCCUAAUACAUGCAAGUCGAGCGAACGGACGAGAAGCUUGCUUCUCUGAUGUUAGCGGCGGACGGGUGAGUAACACGUGGAUAACCUACCUAUAAGACUGGGAUAACUUCGUGAAACCGGAGCUAAUACCGGAUAAUAUUUUGAACCGCAUGGUUCAAAAGUGAAAGACGGUCUUGCUGUCACUUAUAGAUGGAUCCGCGCUGCAUUAGCUAGUUGGUAAGGUAACGGCUUACCAAGGCAACGAUGCAUAGCCGACCUGAGAGCGUGGUCGGCCACACUGGAACUGAGACACGGUCCAGACUCCUACGGGAGGCAGCAGUAGGGAAUCUUCCGCAAUGGGCGAAAGCCUAACGGAUCAACGCCGCGUGAGUGAUGAAGGUCUUCGGAUCGUAAAACUCUGUUAUUAGGGAAGAACAUAUGUGUAAGUAACUGUGCACAUCUUGACGGUACCUAAUCAGAAAGCCACGGCUAACUACGUG
rnacentral:rRNA from 1 species